AUUGAACGCUGGCGGCAGGCCUAACACAUGCAAGUCGAGCGGGGUUUUCGGACCUAGCGGCGGACGGGUGAGUAAUGCGUAGGAAGCUGCCCGAUAGAGGGGGAUACCAGUUGGAAACGACUGUUAAUACCGCAUAAUGUCUACGGACCAAAGUGUGGGACCUUCGGGCCACAUGCUAUCGGAUGCGCCUACGUGGGAUUAGCUAGUUGGUGAGGUAAUGGCUCACCAAGGCGACGAUCUCUAGCUGGUUUGAGAGGAUGAUCAGCCACACUGGCACAAAGACACGGUGCAGACUGCAACGGGAGGCAGCACUGGGGAAUAUUGAACAAUGGGCGCUAGGCUGAUCCAGCCAUGCCGCGUGUGUGAAGAAGGCCUUAGGGUUGUAAAGCACUUUCAGCGAGGAGGAAGGAGUGUGUGGUAAUAGUACACACCUUUGACGUUACUCGCAGAAGAAGCAACGGCUAGCACUGUGCCAGCCGCCGCAGUAAAAA
rnacentral:rRNA from 1 species